rnacentral:rRNA from 1 species
GACGAACGCUGGCGGCGUGCUUAACACAUGCAAGUCGAACGAAGUGGCGAACGGGUGAGUAACGCGUAAUCAACCUGCCCUUCAGUGGGGGACAACAGUUGGAAACGACUGCUAAUACCGCAUACUGAAGGAGGGGAUUGCGCCUGAUUAGCUAGUUGGAGGGGUAACGGCCCACCAAGGCGAUGAUCAGUAGCCGGGCUUGGAGGAUGAACGGGCACAAUGGGACUGAGGCACGGGCCAGACUCCUACGGGAGGCAACAGUGGGGAAUCUUUCGCAAUGGACGAAAGUCUGAAGGCACAACGCCGCGUGGGUUAUGACAGGCUUCGGGUUGUAAAGCUCUGUUAAUCAGGACGCGGUACCGGAAUAGAAAGCCACGGCUAACUACGUGCCAGCCGCCGCGGUAAUUC